ensembl:lncRNA
UCAGUCCUUCACGGCGUAGUGUGUUACCAAUUGUUUUCUUGGUGACUAUGGUCCCCGCUGCCUUGAGAUCAUUGGCAAGAUCCUCCCGUGUAGUUCUGGGCUGAUUCCUCACCGUUCUCAUGAUCAAUGCAACUCCACGAGGUGAGAUCUUGCAUGGAGCCCCAGGCCGAGACAGAUUGACAGUUCUUUUGUGUUUCUUAUAUUUGCGAAUAAUCACCCCAACUGUUCUCACCAAGCUGCUUGGCGAUGGUCUUGUAGCCAUUCCAGCCUUGUGUAGGUCUACAAUCUUGUCCCUGACAUCCUUGGAGAGCUCUUUGGUCUUGGCCAUGGUGGAGAGUUUGGAAUCUGAUUGAUUGAUUGCUUCUGUGGACAGGUGUCUUUUAUACAGGUAACAAGCAGAGAUUAGGAGCACUCCCUUUAAGAGUGUGCUCCUAAUCUCAGCUCGUUACCUGUAUAAAAGACACCUGGGAGCCAGAAAUAUUUCUGAUUGAGAGGGGGUCAAAUACUUAUUUCCCUCAUUAAAAUGCAAAUCAAUUUAUAACAUAUUUGACAUGCGUUUUUCUGGAUUUUGUUGUUGUUAUUCUGUCUCUCACUGUUCAAAUAAACCUACCAUUAAAAUGAUAGACUGAUCAUUUCUUUGUCAGUGGGCAAACAUACAAAAUCAGCAGGGGAUCAAAUAGUUUUUCCCUCACUGUAUAUGUAGAGCUGCUUUGGAGCUGAGUUGUAUACUUUUUCCACAAAAACUUCAGGUGCCGUAUUGUUGAAGUACACCAAGACUCCUAUGGUUGGGACUGAGAGCAUGCCCUUGAGGCUCAUCUGUAAGGCAGUGUAUGACACAAAACAAUGUGGUCGUAUUGAUGCCUUUUGGUGUCAUCACACUUUGGAAGAGUGUCCCAAGCUCAUUGACCUCGGCAAGUACCACACUGUUGUCAACGAGAUGGUUACGGAGGACUACAGUGUCAGACAUAGACACGUUGUAACAGACUUCAUAGAACUGACCCCUGCUGACCGAGGAGUCUAUCAGUGCAAUGCAGUAUGUGAAAUGGGAGGCCAUACUGCCAUGGGACACUACAUAAAUAUCACAGUCAAAGCAGCUCCAAUAAUAGUUGAUCAAAGAAAGGCCAACAAUGGUGGACUGAACUGGACAUACAGCACUGGCACAAUACUGUGGUCCCUUCUCCUAAUACUGGAGUUACUUGAGGCAAGAUCAAUAACAAAGUAACACAGAAAAAAUGCACUUGUACAUUUAUACUUCGCAGCCAAUCAUAACUUAAUGUAGAUCUUUUGGGGUGAAGUCUCUUGUUUAUGAAUGAUUAUUUGUGUUUAACAGGUUAAUCAUUGAGCUGGUCUGGUAGCUGAUGGCAGAUGGCGUCAAGGCUGAAAAUGACCUAUCAAUUAUAAUGGAGAUACCAUCUACGAUACAGCUUUACAGUAUAUCAAACCCAAACAUUUAACUGAAUUGUUUUACAUACAGUGCCUUGCGAAAGUAUUCGGCCCCCUUGAACUUUGCGACCUUUUGCCACAUUUCAGGCUUCAAACAUAAAGAUAUAAAACUGUAUUUUUUUGUGAAUAAUCAACAACAAGUGGGACACAAUCAUGAAGUGGAAGGACAUUUAUUGGAUAUUUCAAACUUUUUUAACAAAUCAAAAACUGAAAAAUUGGGCGUGCAAAAUUAUUCAGCCCCCUUAAGUUAAUACUUUGUAGCGCCACCUUUUGCUGCGAUUACAGCUGUAAGUCGCUUGGGGUAUGUCUCUAUCAGUUUUGCACAUCGAGAGACUGACAUUUUUUCCCAUUCCUCCUUGCAAAACAGCUCGARCUCAGUGAGGUUGGAUGGAGAGCAUUUGUGAACAGCAGUUUUCAGUUCUUUCCACAGAUUCUCGAUUGGAUUCAGGUCUGGACUUUGACUUGGCCAUUCUAACACCUGGAUAUGUUUAUUUUUGAACCAUUCCAUUGUAGAUGUUGCUUUAUGUUUUGGAUCAUUGUCUUGUUGGAAGACAAAUCUCCGUCCUAGUCUCAGGUCUUUUGCAGACUCCAUCAGGUUUUCUUCCAGAAUGGUCCUGUAUUUGGCUCCAUCCAUCUUCCCAUCAAUUUGAACCAUCUUCCCUGUCCCUGCUGAAGAAAAGCAGGCCCAAACCAUGAUGCUGCCACCACCAUGUUUGACAGUGGGGAUGGUGUGUUCAUGGUGAUGAGCUGUGCUGCUUUAACGCCAAACAUAACGUUUUGCAUUGUUGCCAAAAAGUUCCAUUUUGGUUUCAUCUGACCAGAGCACCUUCUUCCACAUGUUUGGUGUGUCUCCCAGGUGGCUUGUGGCAAACUUUAAACAACACUUUUUAUGGAUAUCUUUAAGAAAUGGCUUUCUUCUUGCCACUCUUCCAUAAAGGCCAGAUUUGUGCAAUAUACGACAGAGUCUCCCACCUCAGCUGUAGAUCUCUGCAGUUCAUCCAGAGUGAUCAUGGGCCUCUUGGCUGCAUCUCUGAUCAGUCUUCUCCUUGUAUGAGCUGAAAGUUUAGAGGGAUGGCCAGGUCUUGGUAGAUUUGCAGUGGUCUGAUACUCCUUCCAUUUCAAUAUUAUCGCUUGCACUGUGCUCCUUGGGAUGUUUAAAGCUUGGGAAAUCUUUUUGUAUCCAAAUCCGGCUUUAAACUUCUUCACAACAGUAUCUCGGACCUGCCUGGUGUGUUCCUUGUUCUUCAUGAUGCUCUCUGCGCUUUUAACGGACCUCUGAGACUAUCACAGUGCAGGUGCAUUUAUACGGAGACUUGAUUACACACAGGUGGAUUGUAUUUAUCAUCAUUAGUCAUUUAGGUCAACAUUGGAUCAUUCAGAGAUCCUCACUGAACUUCUGGAGAGAGUUUGCUGCACUGAAAGUAAAGGGGCUGAAUAAUUUUGCACGCCCAAUUUUUCAGUUUUUGAUUUGUUAAAAAAGUUUGAAAUAUCCAAUAAAUGUCGUUCCACUUCAUGAUUGUGUCCCACUUGUUGUUGAUUCUUCACAAAAAAAUACAGUUUUAUAUCUUUAUGUUUGAAGCCUGAAAUGUGGCAAAAGGUCGCAAAGUUCAAGGGGGCCGAAUACUUUCGCAAGGCACUGUAUGUACAAAUAAGUAGCCUUUUGGCUCAAACGACUACAACAUUUAUAGUCAUUGGCUAAUAGUUUACUUAACAUUUACGAAAAAUAAAAAUGUGUUAUAAACCAGCUUCAAACAUGUAUGUUGGAAGACAGGAGGGUUUGUACUACUUAAAUUAAAAUUCAAUUUCAUGGAAUUUCAAUGGAAUGGAAUACUCAUUUGUUCGCUUGAUCACAAUUUUUUUCCAGUUGGCAUGCGUGCCUAUUUCUGUUUAAUUUUGUUCUCUCCCCUGUUCUUGCCACGGUGGGCUAUCUCUCUACACCUCUCAGGUCUGUGUCUGUUAGAGGAAAUGCCCAUACAGGACAGGAAACCACACAUAGCAUUUGCACAAUGUGAGCAGAGGUAGUCGCAGUCCAUGUGGUUGGAAGGGUGAGGGGGAGUAAAAGGGUCUGGUAGUCUUGUGAUGUUCAUUAUAUCUCAGUUUAAUUUGAAGGCGCAGGAGUGCACUGUCAUACUUUUUGUUCUAGUUGUCCAUACAUGCCUUUUUUUUGUUUGUUUGUUUGUUCUCUCCCCUGUUCUUG